GUCAGAGGCGAUGAAAGACGUGAUAGCCUGCGAAAAGCUCCGGGGAGGCGGCAAAUAUCCUUUGAUCCGGAGAUGUCUGAAUGGGGGAACCCACCUACUUUAAGGUAGGUAUUGCAACAUGAAUACAUAGUGUUGCAAGGCGAACGAGGGGAAGUGAAACAUCUCAGUACCCUUAGGAAAAGAAAUCAAUUGAGAUUCCCUCAGUAGCGGCGAGCGAACGGGGAUCAGCCCAUUAAGUUAUGUGUGUUUUAGUGGAACGCUCUGGGAAGUGCGAACGUAGAGGGUGAUAUUCCCGUACACGAAAGGGCACACAUAAUGAUGACGAGUAGGGCGAGGCACGUGAAACCUUGUCUGAAUAUGGGGGGACCAUCCUCCAAGGCUAAAUACUCCUGACUGACCGAUAGUGAACCAGUACCGUGAGGGAAAGGC
rnacentral:rRNA from 1 species